rnacentral:lncRNA from 14 species
AUUUGCUCUCCAGCACAGCAAAAGGGUCUGCCUGUGACCCUCACCGAACUCACUCUUCACUGCUUUAUAGAGACCAUCAGACUCAGGACAAAUAUUCUAGUUUGGAUGCGCAAUUAAUAAUAAGAAGAUACAGGACAGAGGCGGACUGAAUGGCUCCAAUUCUCAGAAUGUGAAAGCGUAAAUCAGAACCUACUAUUUUGUAAAACCAACUUGGAAAACAAAAUUGUCAGAAGCAAAACAACAACAACAACAACAAUAAAAACCAAACCAACAACAAAACCAAGCAAGUCAGGCUGUUUUACCAAUAAAGGGGGCACUGAAUGGAAUCAGAGAUCUGAUAAGUGCCGGGAAGUUGGACUAAGAGGGACAGGAGACUUCGAAACUUCUCUGAAUACUGCUCUGGGAUCAGUACACGUCAACCUGAACCCGGAAGAGUUCCAAGUAUCUUUCCCCUUCUCUGUCAGGUUCGUGUUACCCUGA